CCGAAAUCCAAUCCCUCUUGCGUUAGUCAUUCGACAUGCAGGCGACUUAUUUCAAAUUUGGGAACGUGUCGGAUCGGUUGUGAUGUUGGACAGGAUUUUUACGAGCGAGCGGAGCGAGCGAGCAACGAUCACAAUUUGCAAGCUAUACAUAUACCUUAUAUUGCCUUGCAUAUAAUUCGUGUUAUUACCUAAUUUUGUCAGACAUUUCGGACAUCACAUUGCAGUGUACGAUGUGGAAAUAGUACUGCUUAUGUGAAACUAUUCAUAAACUGUAUACAUUUGUGUUGUUAUUUUAUGUUUUAGAGGUAGGAUCGCGUUAGUUAUUAUUAUGUUAUAUAGAUAAUAAAUCUACACUUCUCGAGGCAGAAAGAACUUUAUUGCACACACUUAGAAGGGUCACAAACGAAUAAAAAAAAAAAAAA
rnacentral:misc_RNA from 1 species